rnacentral:tRNA from 1 species
GGGGCUGUAGUGUAGCUUGGCUAUCACUCUACCUUGGGGUGGUAGCAACCGGGGUUCGAAGGCGAAGCUGAACUUUCAUCUUCCCGAAAUUCCUCGCAGCCCCA